UACGUAGGUGACCAGCGUUGUCCGGAUUUACUGGGCGUAAAGAGCGCGCAGGCGGUCGUUCAAGUCGAGUGUGAAAGCCCCCGGCUCAACUGGGGAGGGUCACUCGAUACUGAUCGACUUGAAGGCAGGAGAGGGAAGCGGAAUUCCCGGUGUAGUGGUGAAAUGCGUAGAUAUCGGGAGGAACACCAGUGGCGAAGGCGGCUUCCUGGCCUGUUCUUGACGCUGAGGCGCGAAAGCGUGGGGGAGCAAACAGG
rnacentral:rRNA from 1 species